CUAGCGACCCCAUGGACUGCAGGCUUUGCUACUCAACUUUUCUCCUACCCAUUUCCUGUUCCCUGAGGAAAUAAUUUCAAACUUUUGAAUUUUCUGCCCCAUUAGUUUUAUUCCUUUUGUAUCUGCAUCUCUUUGUGUAUUUCGUUCAUCAGCUUCGCUAAAUUUGAAUACUUAAGUCUGAAAUAUUUCCUGAUUGAUCUCCUUUGCCUCCUGGUCACACUUCUCUGCAGCAUGUGUAUAGGCAGCUGUUUGCUUUUCUUUCUUUUUCUAGACGUAUCCUUGACUGUAUUUUGCACUGGUUCCAUUUUUGACGGCUCAUCUUGGAGCAAAGGGGGCCACAGUAGGCAAAUGCCCUUCAAACUAUGUCCCAACCUAGAGGAGGUAGUGAGGAGUUUUUAUACUAAUGAUCAGCGUGUGGACAUUCUUCUGACUGUUUAUUGGUGAGCUACUGAGCCCACUUGCUGCCAACUGCUAAAGCCCAUGUGCCUAGAGCCUGAGCUCUGCAACAAGAGAAGCCACCGCGCACUGCAACUAGAGAAUAGCCCCCACUUGCUGCAACUACAGAAAGCCCAUAUGCAGCAACGAAGACCCACCACAGCCAAAAAACAAAUAAAUGAGAGUACUCAGUAUAAACAUCUGAUGAACCAAUACAGGGUCUUGGAUAUGAAGCGGAAUUCCCUAAAACUCAGCACUGACUCUUCUUCCUCACAAUGAGAGUACCAGACUUAGGAGGAAAAGUAAAUUUGAGGGGAAAUAAGUUUAGGAUGGUUGAAUACAUAUGUUGAGUUGCCUAACCUGAAGUAAAAUACCAUUAUCUGGGGGAACAAAAUUCCCAGAAGCUCUAAAUAGAUGGUUCUUCAUAUAAACCGAAAGAGCAGGGACUUCCCUGGGGGUCCAGUGAUGAAGAGUCCAGGCUUCUAAUGCAGGGGCAUGGGUCUGAUCCCUGAUCAGAGAACUAAGAUCCUACAUGCUGUGCCAAAAAAAUGAAACAAAACAAAACAACAACCAACUGAAAGAGCAGAUCAGGUGUGAAGCAGAAUAGGGGACAUCUCUGCAGUAGAAGGGGUGGGGCCCAGGAUAUUGAACUUCCUGUGGGGCUUCUGUCACAUUCCAGCUCCUUCCUUGUAUAACACGAGAGCUUUGUGCUUUCAGUCAAGAUACUGAAACCUACUUUCUCAGAGCCUUUAUUAAUUUCCCAAACCAAAGAAACCUCCACCUUUGACACAAAAGUGUCAUAGCUUAGGUAGAUUUAUAGACUACAUGUGCUAAGCACUGAAGCCCUAUAAAUGGACAUGAUGUCAAUAAUGGGUCGGGAGAAACUGUCCCAGCUAUGGGGUUAUUGUCAGCAUUUAAAGGGCCUAGUGAACUCUGGAAUAGAUCAAGUAGACAAUAGUCUCUAGGAAGUCAAACCCAAUAGCCCAAUUAAGGGUGGGGUGCAGGUGAAAUACACAGUAUUCUGAGGCAAUGGAGAUAGCAGGCAAUACUCAGAGACAGGUAGACGCAACAGUAAUGCCACAGGAAGCCAUUUCCUAGAUAUUGAGGGCAAAGACUGGGCAGUGUGUCAAGAAGGGUGGAGUGAUAGCAAGGACUCCCAGUUCCAGCAGCAGCUAUCAAGACACUCUGAUGGAAUAUUACUCAGCCAUAAAAAGGAAUGAAAUUGGGUCAUUGUGGAGAUGUGGGUGGACCUCGAAUCUGUCAUACAGAGUGAAGUAAG
ensembl:lncRNA